rnacentral:rRNA from 1 species
AUUGAACGCUGGCGGCAUGCUUUACACAUGCAAGUCGAACGGCAGCGCGGGCUUCGGCCUGGCGGCGAGUGGCGAACGGGUGAGUAAUGCAUCGGAACGUGCCCAGUAGUUGGGGAUAGCCCGGCGAAAGCCGGAUUAAUACCGCAUACGACCUGAGGGUGAAAGCGGGGGACCGAAAGGCCUCGCGCUAUUGGAGCGGCCGAUGUCGGAUUAGCUAGUUGGUGGGGUAAAGGCUUACCAAGGCGACGAUCCGUAGCUGGUCUGAGAGGACGACCAGCCACACUGGGACUGAGACACGGCCCAGACUCCUACGGGAGGCAGCAGUGGGGAAUUUUGGACAAUGGGGGCAACCCUGAUCCAGCCAUGCCGCGUGCGGGAAGAAGGCCUUCGGGUUGUAAACCGCUUUUGUUAGGGAAGAAAUCCUCUGGGCUAAUACCCCGGGGGGAUGACGGUACCGGAAGAAUAAGCACCGGCUAACUACGUG